CACCACUCAAGCCCAGCUUGGUGUUGGGGCACCCGGCCGCCCGGCGGUCGGGGCCCCCAAGAACAUCGGCGGUCUCGCCAGGACCCUGAACGCAGUAACUCGCGGUAAAACGCGCUUCGUUCGGAGGCUUCCCGGCGGGCUCCAGCCGCUAAACCCCCUAAACUUCUUA
rnacentral:misc_RNA from 1 species